CAAGUAAAAUCAGAAUCUGAAUAUCCUAGCACCUCAAGAUGAUUUGUACGCUGAAAUGUAAGCAUAUAACCUUUAGUUUUUUUCAAAUAUCUCAUAACUUUUUUAGCUGCUUUCCAAUGCUCUAGUCCUGGAUUAGAUUGAAAUCUGCUAAGGACACUUACUGCGUAGGCUAUAUCCGGUCUAGUGCAAACUUGAGCAUACAUCAAACUCCCCACAGCAUUAGCAUAUGGAAUCAUUUUCAUAGAUUCCCUUUCUAGCUCAUUCCUUGGACAUUGAGUUUUGUUAAAUUUAUCUCCUUUUAUGAUAGGUACAUCACCAGGUACACAAUUUUGCAUAUUAAACAUUUCUAGAACACGUCGUAUAUAAGUUUUCUGAGAAAGUCCCAAUAAGCCACGAUUUCUAGCACGAUAUAUUUCAAUGCCAAGUACAUAAGAAGCUUCUCCAAGAUCUUUCAUCUCAAAAUUAGCAGACAACAUUUUCUUUACCUCAUGAAGCAACCCUAAGUUAUUGCUAGCAAGCAGAAUGUCAUCAACAUACAGUACAAUGAAAAUAAAAUUUCACCCACUGGUUUUAAGAUAAAUGCAUUGAUCAAUAGUAUUUUCAACAAAACCAAGAGAGGUCACAACCUCAUCAAAUUUCAAAUACCACUGUCGAUAUGCUUACUUAAGUCCAUACAAUGAUUUGUUUAACUUACACACCAAGUUUUUUUUCCUUUCACAACAAAACUUUUAAGUUGUUUCAUAUAAACCAUUUCAGAAAGAUCUCCAUUCAAAAAUGCCGUCUUAACAUCCAUUUGAUGAAAUUCCAAAUCGUAGUGUACCACAAGAGCCAUGAUAAUUCGAAAAGAAUCUUUCGACGAAACAGGGGAGAAGGUUUCAACAUAAUCAAUGCCCUCUCGCUAAGUAAAACAUUUUGUAACCAAUCUUGCUUUCUUUCGUUCAACAUUUUCUUUUGAAUCUAAUUUACUUUUGAAAAUCCCCUUGUUAUAUACAACCUUAGCAGUUGGAGGAAGUUCAACAAGAUCCCAAAUUUUAUUCAUUUCCUUGGAAUUCAUUUCAUCUUCCAUGACAGCUAUCCAUUUAUCUGUCUCAGAACUUGUCAAUGCUUGGUUAUAAGUUACAGGGUCAACAAUAUGCCCAAUAUUAAAAUCGCUCUUCAAUAUAUAUGUAAUAUAAUCACUGGGCAAUGCAAAUCUUCUUUCCCUUUGUGAUCUCAUAACUUGUGGAUCAGGAAUCGAUUCAAUCGUUGUUUGAGGAAUUGGAGAUUUCUCCUGGCUCCUCGGUUCUUCAUUAAAAAUUUCAAUUGGUUGAGAACCAACUCUUUUCUAUAUGAUAGGAACUAGAACAACAACUUGAUUAGGUUCAACAAGAAUUUCUCUCAACAUGAAAAUCCCACUAUCUCCAAAUCGUUCUCCAAAAACUUAGCAGUAAUGGACUCCACAAUUCUAGUGCUGCGAUUUGGACAAUAAAACUUAUAUCCCUUUGAUCUAUCCGGAUACCCAAUAAAGUAGCCAGGAGUUGAUUUAUGGUCUAAUUUCUUUUCAAAUGGAUUAUAAAUCCUAACCUCAGUUGGACAUCCCCAAACUUUAAAGUGAGUCAUACUUGGCUUACGUCCUGUCCAUAAUUCAAAAGAUGUUUUUGUAACAACUUUACUUGGAACUCUGUUCAAAAUAUACAUAGCUGUUUUCAAAUCUUCACCCCACAAUUAUUCAGGCAAAUUUGUUCUACUCAUUAUACUUCUAACCAUAUCUUUUAGAGUUCGAUUACGUCUUUUAAAAAUAUCAUUCUACUCAGGUGUCCCUGACAUGGUGUAUUGGAACACUAUUCUACACUCUUAUAAAAACUUUGCAAAAUCACCCAUAUUUUGACCAGACU
rnacentral:lncRNA from 1 species